rnacentral:rRNA from 1 species
CCUACGGGUGGCAGCAGUGGGGAAUAUUGCACAAUGGGGGAAACCCUGAUGCAGCGACGCCGCGUGAGUGAAGAAGGAGGUCGGGAUGGAAAGCUCUAUCAGCAGGGAAGAAAAAAGACGGUACCGGACGAAGAAGCCCCGGCUAACUACGUGCCAGCAGCCGCGGUAAGACGUAGGGGGCAAGCGUUAUCCGGCUUUACGGGGUGUAAAGGGAGCGUAGACGGGGCGGCAAGGCUGAAGUGCAAGGCAGGGGCUUCACCCCUGAACUGCUUUGGAAACUGCCAUGCUAGCGUGCUGGAGAGGUAAGUGGCAUUCCUUGUGUAGCGGUGCAAUGCUUCGAUAUUAGGCG